rnacentral:pre_miRNA from 1 species
ACUCAGGACUUCCAGGUAAGGAGCCGCUGCUGUCCUCUUGGUCCUCUGUUCUCUCUUUAUAAGCAAAAGGCACAGGACAGGAUCUCUGCUGGAAGUGACCGGGGAAAGAACGAGUUCAAGUGCUAGGUCAGCUGAGGACCCAGCCAUGGAGACCACGGAGCUCUCAGCAUCAACGGUGUACAGGAGAAUGACCUAUGAUUUGACAGACCGUGCAGCUGUGUAUGUCUGUCAUUCUGUAGGCCAAUAUUCUGUAUGUCACUGCUACUUAAAAUCCGGACAUCGGCAAACACCCUCGGAGCGCUGUGCAGCAGAUCACGGGAGAGUCUGUAGCACAGCAGGAGAAUGUGUUGACAAAAUAAAAUGAGACUGCGCUGGACAGAUGUGUGCUUCUGUGUACCUG